GGGCGGCCGGCCCGAGGCAGUUCGGGCGCCGGGUCAACCCCGGCGGGGCUCAGAAGCCCCAGUGGACGUCGGCGUUCUGCGCCUUGGCCGCGCGC
rnacentral:tRNA from 1 species